CCUACGGGAGGCAGCAGUGAGGAAUAUUGGUCAAUGGACGAGAGUCUGAACCAGCCAAGUAGCGUGAAGGAUGACUGCCCUAUGGGUUGUAAACUUCUUUUAUAUGGGAAUAAAAUGGUCCACGUGUGGGAUUUUGUAUGUACCAUAUGAAUAAGGAUCGGCUAACUCCGUGCCAGCAGCCGCGGUAAUACGGAGGAUCCGAGCGUUAUCCGGAUUUAUUGGGUUUAAAGGGAGCGUAGGUGGAUUGUUAAGUCAGUUGUGAAAGUUUGCGGCUCAACCGUAAAAUUGCAGUUGAAACUGGCAGUCUUGAGUACAGUAGAGGUGGGCGGAAUUCGUGGUGUAGCGGUGAAAUGCUUAGAUAUCACGAAGAACUCCGAUUGCGAAGGCAGUUCACUGGACUGCAACUGACACUGAGGCUCGAAAGUGUGGGUAUCAAACAGGAUUAGAUACCCGAGUAGUC
rnacentral:rRNA from 1 species